ACUAACUAGGAUUCCCUUAGUAGCGGCGAGCGAACAGGGAUAAGCCCAGCGCCGAAUCCCGCGUCUUCGACGCCGGGAAAUGUGGCGUUUGGGAGGGUCCGUAUCUCGUGGCCGAACUGUUUGUUCCAAGUCCCUCUUGAACGGGGCCGUUCACCCAUAGAGGGUGCCAGGCCCGUAGGAUACGCAGUUUGCCGCGAGAGGAUUCCUCCUUAGAGUCGGGUUGCUUGAAAAUGCAGCCCUAAUUUGGUGGUAAACUCCAUCUAAGGCUAAAUAUUACCACGAGACCGAUAGCGAACAAGUACCGUGAGGGAAAGUUGAAAAGAACUUUGAAGAGAGAGUUCAAUAGUACGUGAAACCGUUAAGGUGUAAACCUGAGAAACCCGAAAGGUCGAACGAGGAGAUUCAGUCGCGUUUCGUACGAUGGGGCGUGUCGGAUUUGCGACGGCUGGCGCAUUUAUUUGUGACUUGCUGCGCUAUCUGCCGCUGCCAACGACGAACGCGUGCACUUCUCCUCUAGUAGGACGUCGCGACCCGUUGGGGGCCGAUUUGAGGCUCGCGGUGGAGCCCGCAUUGUACGCUUCGGCGUUAUGUGCGGACCCGCGGUGUCCCGACCGGCCAGCCGACGGUAUGAUUAAGGCGCGGGGCCGCGACUAGUUCGCGCUCGGCCCGUCGCAAACGCGGUCGGAAGUUCGUUGUUCGGACCUAGUGCCGACUUCGGGCUCCGGCGAUUGUUAGCGGCGGUGUCCUCGGGCAGACCCCGUAAGCCGGUCAGCGGCGCUAUAGCUUUGGGUACUUUCAGGGCCCGUCUUGAAACACGGACCAAGGAGUCUAGCAUGUGCGCGAGUCAAUAGGACUAGCGAAACCUAAAGGCGAAAUGAAAGUAAAGAACAGCUUCGCGCUUGUUCAAGGGCGGAUGGACGGCGCUAAGACGCCGUCUCGCACGCCACGGGCGUCCCGAUCUCAUUGCGAGAUGGGGCGCACCCAGAGCGUACAUGCUGGGACCCGAAAGAUGGUGAACUAUGCCUGGUCAGGACGAAGUCAGGGGAAACCCUGAUGGAGGUCCGUAGCGAUUCUGACGUGCAAAUCGAUCGUAGGAACUGGGUAUAGGGGCGAAAGACUAAUCGAACCAUCUAGUAGCUGGUUCCCUCCGAAGUUUCCCUCAGGAUAGCUGGCGCUCGUUUAUUACGAGUCUCAUCCGGUAAAGCGAAUGAUUAGAGGCAUUGGGGUCGAAACGGCCUCAACCUAUUCUCAAACUUUAAAUGGGUGAGAUCUCCGGCUUGCUCGAACGUGAAGCCGCGAGAUUUCGGAUCAGAG
rnacentral:rRNA from 1 species